GGGGUCUCACUAUGUUACCCAGGCUGGACGUGAAGCCCUGGGCUCAAGCAAUCUUCCUGCCUUAGCCUCCUGAGUAUCUGGGACUACAGGUGCACACAACUGCACCCAGCUCAGGGCCGUAGUUGAUGAGACACAUGAGAGAUCCGAGGGAAAUUUUUAAAAAGCAAAGAGGUGAAGGAAUAAAUAUCAUCUGGUACAGCCCCACAGUGGAAUACUACUCAGCAAUAAAAAGGAAUACACCACUGAUAUACACAAAAAUGUGAAUGGAUCUCACAGGCCUUAUGCUGACUUGGAAGAAAAAAGCCAAUUUCAAAAAGUUUUUAACCAUAAAACUAUACUUAUUAAAUACUCUUAAAGUAACAAAAUACAGUGAAAAAGAACAGAUCAGCAGUUGCCAGAAGUUAGAGUUUUGGGAAGAACAGUCCCUGGAGUCUUCCUCCAGAAUGCAAACAACCUGGUGCUGCUGUUUAUCUUUUCAAUGAUGUCUGAAAACAAGGGAACCAAUGUGAGCCUGCAGCUCAUACUGCCUGCGGUACUAUGAGUCAUAAAGUACUUUAUCUUUGACCCAAGUGUAUCAUAUCUUCUGCCAAGAUCUAGGAAACUCUGGCAGGCA